rnacentral:rRNA from 1 species
ACUAAGGUUUCCAGAGGAAGGCUCGUCCGCUCUGGGUUAGUCGGGUCCUAAGCUGAGGCCGACAGGCGUAGGCGAUGGAUAACAGGUUGAUAUUCCUGUACCACCUAUAAUCGUUUUAAUCGAUGGGGGGACGCAGUAGGAUAGGCGAAGCGUGCGAUUGGAUUGCACGUCUAAGCAGUAAGGCUGAGUAUUAGGCAAAUCCGGUACUCGUUAAGGCUGAGCUGUGAUGGGGAGAAGACAUUGUGUCUUCGAGUCGUUGAUUUCACACUGCCGAGAAAAGCCUCUAGAUAGAAAAUAGGUGCCCGUACCGCAAACCGACACAGGUAGUCAAGAUGAGAAUUCUAAGGUGAGCGAGCGAACUCUCGUUAAGGAACUCGGCAAAAUGACCCCGUAACUUCGGGAGAAGGGGUGCUCUUUAGGGUUAACGCCCAGAAGAGCCGCAGUGAAUAGGCCCAAGCGACUGUUUAUCAAAAACACAGGUCUCUGCUAAACCGUAAGGUGAUGUAUAGGGGCUGACGCCUGCCCGGUGCUGGAAGGUUAAGAGGAGUGGUUAGCUUCUGCGAAGCUACGAAUCGAAGCCCCAGUAAACGGCGGC